rnacentral:rRNA from 1 species
CAGCCGCCGCGGUAAUACGUAGGUGGCAAGCGUUGUCCGGAAUUAUUGGGCGUAAAGGGCUCGCAGGCGGUUUCUUAAGUCUGAUGUGAAAGCCCCCGGCUCAACCGGGGAGGGUCAUUGGAGACUGGGAAACUUGAGUGCAGAAGAGGAGAGUGGAAUUCCACGUGUAGCGGUGAAAUGCGUAGAGAUGUGGAGGAACACCAGUGGCGAAGGCGACUCUCUGGUCUGUAACUGACGCUGAGGAGCGAAAGCGUGGGGAACGAACAGGAUUAGAUACCCGGGUAGUCCCUGUCUCUUAUAC